AGACAGAUGAUUCCCCAGUCCCGGAACACUCUCGGCCCUCUUCAGCCACUCCCUCCCCAACCCACACGCCAUCAACCUCCAGACCCUCUCGCCGUGGCUUAGAGGUGUCUCUGACAACGUGGCACACUGGGAAGGCCUUCUUUCCUGCUACCAAUACAAAUGCAUUCUGAAUUUGAUAUGUCAUUAAAUGUAAAAAUACAGCCAAUUUGAAACAAGCAAAUGGAAAUUCCCAGGAACCAAAAACAGAAAGAAAAAUCAGAGCUACCGCAGUGCUGUCCCUGCAGACAGAAUUUGGGAGAGGUACUCAGAGUCACCUCCUGUGAGCCUAUGCAAGCCAGCUCCUGCACAACCCUGGUUUUAGUCCAGGUAAAGGCCCGCCCAGGUGUUUGAAUAUGGACUCCUCACAUACUUCUGCAGACUCCAGCUUUGGGUUGACCCAUCGGGGAGAGGGAACUUAGCAUGAACCCUUGUAUAAAAAUGAAAAUCUCUUUCAUUGGAAGGGAAGAUCACUGACUGGGCUAGUCUCCCAAGACCUAGGAAAGAGCUUGGCUGUCAGAGGGUGAGCUAGGGAACGAACUGUGCUUGUUGAUAUCCACAUCCAAGGCUGAUGGCCGGAGGAGGCAGUUAAGAGCAAAAGGCAAUGGACCAAACUACAUCAAAGAUGGGAUUAUAACAAAACUUUAAAAGUUGGUUUACAAUGCAGAAAAUUCAUUCUUCUGGAAACAGACUUGAAAAAAAUAAAAUAUUUACUCUACCUUUCUUGUUCAGAACCAUGCCUUAGGCCUUCUGCAGAAUUCCACAUUAAACAGGAUGAAGAAUAGGUUGUUAGCAGACUGAGGUACUUGGGGCAACAUUUCGUACACAACAGGAGGGAGAAACGACUCCAGGUUGUCUUGUGGUAGAGGAGAUUUUGCCUUGCAAUUUUACAUACUUAUGCUACGUGGAAGGCUGGGUGGCGUGACUUCAGAAAAAUGUUUCCUCAGGAAAGAGACACACAGAGAGAGAGAGAAAGAGAGAAAGAGAGAACCCACCUACCUGUUUUGCAAAAGUCUCAUGAAUCAUCCCUUCCUGUGGUCCUGCUCCCUGAGAUCCUUUCACCGCUCACAGUGGGCUACUUCUAAGAGCGUGCCUGGCACAGGGUCACUGAGAGCAUAGUCUUAAUAAAACAAUGAUGGAUGCUUGUCUCUCUCA
ensembl:lncRNA LINC00929 long intergenic non-protein coding RNA 929